UCUAGAAAGAUUCUGGUUGAUCCUGCCGGACCUGACUGCUAUGGGGGUUGGGUUAAGCUAUGCUAGUGGAGCGGACUUAGCCAUGAUAGUCCGCCGCACACGGCUCCAGUAACACGUAGUCAACUUACCCUUCGGACAGGGACGUCCCCGGGAAACUGGGGCUAAUCCCCGAUAGGGAUCUGCAGCUGGAACGCCCAGACACCAAAAUAGGAAGCUCUCAUGCGAGCUCCUCUGCCGAAGGAUAGGACUGCGCCCUAUCAGCUUGUAGGUAGUGUAAAGGACUACCUAGGCAAUAACGGGUACCGGCGAUGUAAGUCGGAGCCGGGAGAAGGACACUGAGAUAAGGUCCCAGGCCCUACGGGGCGCAGCAGGCGCGAAAACUCCGCAAUGCGCGAAAGCGUGACGGGGUUACCCCGAGUGCUGUCCGUUGAGGAUGGCUUUUCUUCAUUGUAAGAAGCUGAGGGAAUAAAGGGGGGGCAAGUCUGGUGUCAGCCGCCGCGGUAAUACCAGCCCCCUGAGUGAUAGGGACGAUUAUUUAGCCUAAAGCGUCCGUAGCCGGCAUAGUAAGUCUUUCGUCAAAUCUAACGACUUAAUCGCUAGUCUGCGGAAGAUACUACUAAGCUUGAGGGCGGGAGAGGUUGACGGUAGUCCUGGGGUAGGGGUGAAAUCCUAUAAUCCCAGGAGGACCACCAGUGGCGAAGGCGGUCAACUAGAACGCGCCUGACGGUGAGGGACGAAAGCUGGGGGAGCGAACCGGAUUAGACACCCGGGUAGUCCCAGCUGUAAACGAUGCGAGCUGGGUGUUGGGGUAGCUACGAGCUGCUCCAGUGCCGCAGAGAAGUUGUUAAGCUCGCCGCUUGGGAAGUACGGUCGCAAGGCUGAAACUUAAAGGAAUUGGCGGGGGAGCACCACAAGGGGUGAAGCCUGCGGUUCAA
rnacentral:rRNA from 1 species